rnacentral:rRNA from 1 species
GACGAACGCUGGCGGCGUGCUUAACACAUGCAAGUCGAGCGGAGCGGCGAACGGGUGAGUAACGCGUUAGUAAUUGCCCACCUCCCUGGGAUAACAGUUGGAAACGGGUGCUAAUACCGGAUAGUGGGGUAUGACGUGAGUCCUAUCAGCUGGUUGGUGGGGUAGUGGCCUACCAAGGCGACGACGGGUAGCCGGCCUGAGGGGGCGACCGGCCACAUUGGGCUGAGAUACGAGCCAAAGGCAUACUGGCGGAAGCGGUGGGGAAUAUUGCGCACAGCGGGAAAUCCUGAAGCAGCGACGCCGGGUGCGUGAUGACGGCUUUCGGGUUGUAAACCGCUUUCAGCCAUGACUCGGUAGCGGAAGAAGAAGCACCGGCUAACUACGUGCCAGCAGCCGCGGUAAUUC